rnacentral:lncRNA from 10 species
GUUUAGACAGUUUUCUUAUCUUCUUCAACUGGACCUCUUUGCUGACUCAUGUCAGCUUUGAGCUCAUAUUAGUCUGUGAACUUUACCUGGCUGAAAUUCAGUUUGGCCUGACUUUGCCAUUCUUGAUUCCACUUUUGAUUCAGACUAAAAUAUAAGGUAAGGCUAUGUUCAAUACAAGAACCUUACAAUCUGAUGAACAUGGACUUACUCAAGGAAGAGAUUUAUCUGCCUCAUGUGAGAAGAAGUCUGGGUUGAAGUAGAUUAGGGCUGGAACAGUAGUUCAAGGAUGCUAUCUGGGAACUGAGCAUUUUUUCUUCCUGCUCUACUGCCCUGAGGAUGACUGAUGUACCUCCAGCAUCAAGCUCAAAUUCUAGUCAAGAAGAAAGAAGCAGCAGAAGAAGCCCAGCCAACUUGGGAUUGUUUCAUUCAUCAGAUCUACCAUUGUCUCUGCUAGCUGCAAAAAAGUCUGGGAAGGAAGAAGCAAAGAAGUCUAAGUUCUUUGGAGUAAGAUGCUCUCAAAUGCCUAGGAACACUGAUCUCCUAACUUGUCUUCCUGCUUUGAGUGUCCCUCUGAGGUUAAAGUUCCUGCCUCAGUCUCCAACAAUGGUCAUUUCCACUGCUGCCCACUGAGGAGUGCCACUGGAGAUGAUCUCACAACAAAGAGAGGGGGAGAGGUCCCUGGCCCUCCCCUUUCCUCUGUGCUCUCAGCAGCUGACCUUGUCUUUUCCUUUACUGAGAGUAGAGGCACCUCUUACAAAUACUCUGGCCUCUGCCUGGACUGACUGGGCUAAAUUGUCUCCGAAGAUGGCCACCAACCAUUCCUCCCACCUGUCUGCAUGCAGGCUGCUCCUCCCGUCAGAAGAUGGAGACUGCUUCCUUGCCCUUCAAUCCAAGCUGGCUCAUGACUUGCUUCAAUGAAUAGGAAAUGGCAGAAGUGAUGCUCUGAGGCUUCUGGGCCUAGACUUUAAGAGGUGUUGCCCCUUUCCUUUUUCCCUCUUGGGAUCCAGCCUACCACAUAGAGAAGUUUGGGUUGACAACUAAAUGUGAGAGAGAGACAGACAGAGAGAAGAGGGAGAGCUGAUUCAGCUAGACCUUAGUCAUUCCAGCCAUCCUAGCUGAAGCACUAGCAUGUGAAAGAAGCCACCUUCUAACCUAUCAAUCAGAGCCCCCAAUUUUACUGACCUCAGUCAACACCAUGUGGAACAGAACUACCCCAGGGAGCCCAACCAACCCAUACAAUCAUGAGAAAUUAAAAACUGAUGUUGUAGCCUCCUGAGUUUUAAGGUAGUUUGUUACACAAAAAUACUGGAAUUUUGACCCACCUUCACCUCCAAUGCCAACCUAGUAAACCUGGAUAUAUCUUUCAAAAUUUGGCUCAAGUGUCAACUCUUUCAUGAACCCUCUGUAUCCUUUUCUUGCUCAUUCAAGCCCUAUUUUCUCUUCUCCUCCCCAAAAUUCCAUAGUACUUUGUAUUACAAACUAUGUGCUUACAACCCCCAAAGUCUCUGGGCAUCCAGAAGGCAGAGAUUUGGCUUAAUUCAUUUUUGCCUCUGCCUAGCCUAACACCCGGCACAUUUAGAUAUUUAGUUAUUGUUUGCUGAAUGAAUGGAUGCAUGAAGAAGAAAAUUUAACAGAUGAUAUCUACAGGCACAUCUGGCUCCAAAAUUGAAUCAUGUCAUCUAGCAAUGCUCAGUAAAGUUAACAUAAGCAAUUUC